AUCCAGUUGACGAGUCCCAAAUAGGACGAAACGCGCAUUCUGGAU
rfam:Schistosoma mansoni strain Puerto Rico chromosome 1, complete genome